rnacentral:lncRNA from 1 species
UUGGGUUCGAUAAGAGAGCAGGCUGAGCAAGCCAGGGGAAGCAAGCCAGUAAGAAACACCCCUCCAUGGCUUCUGCAUUACCUUCCUGACCUGAUUGAGCUCCUGACAUCCUUUGGUGAUCAACAGCAAUGUGGAAGAGAUAACUGGACCUGGAUAGAGGGAAGUGACAAGUCCUCUACUUGUCUGAAAAGAAAGAUGUCAAUGGAGAAGGUAGAUUCUAAAGAGACAUAGACCUGCCUCAGUAGAACAGAAUGUGAAGGAACAUCACCUCAAACAGAAUGGGCUAGUUGCUGUCUCUUGGAACCUUUAUUCAAGAAAGGCUCAGCCUUUAGUGGCCAGUUUGAAUUUUGAACCUUGGAAUACUGCUCAGAUUCACCUAUUGUUGAUGAUCACUUUUGAAUGGAGCUAGAGCAAGAGGCAGAACUAUGGGAGGACUGGACUCUAGCAGGGAAAGCCUUGUUGAAACAAGACCCUGUUUGUGAGGGCUUUGAUCUUUUCACCCUAGCUUACUGAAUUAAGAAUGGAGAAUUCAUUGACUUUGAGUGACAUUUAAAACUAAAAACAAAACAAAACAAAACAACAACAACAACAACAACAACAAAACCCCCCAAACUUCUUCCUCAAUUUACUUACAAAUCAAUCAUCUUGAAAAGAUUUAUUUCUUCCAUGAAAUAGUCCAAUCAAAAUUUAUGAAAUGCCAGAAAGGAAAAAACAUAAGCUCAAAAAUAUAACCACCAGAGUGCUCUACACCCACGUGAAUCAGCCCACCUCAUUGUACUUGUAGAUUUUUGAGUGAAAAAUUAGCCUAUGGGGCCCACCCUGCUGAGUGGUAAUACUUGGAUUCAGCCUUAAACACCACAUUGCAGAUUUCCUGCUUCUAAAGUGAUGGAAGAAUGAUUCUGUUAGUCAACCCAUAGGAGCUCCUUACUUGGAAUGUGCUCAGCUGAAUUUAGCCAAUGCACUGUUCCUUGCUUUUGUAAGACCUUCUGUAUUUGUUUUUAAAAAAUAAAAUUUGAAUUCAGC